UCGCCUGGUGUGGAUCUCCUUCCUGCCUGCGGAGUACAGACAGAAGAGAGGUGAAGGAGUUGGACCCGAAGGAGAGUUUGACCCAAAGGAGAGUUUGACCCAAAGGAGAGUUGGACCCAAAGAAGAGUUGGACCCAAAGGAGAGUUGGACCCAAAGGAGAGUUGGACCCAAAGGAGAGUUGGACCCAAAGGAGAGUUGGACCCAAAGAAGAGUUGGACCCAAAGAAGAGUUGGACAAGCUUUAAUAAAACAUAAUUUAAACAUAGCUGGCUAAAUCGUAACCUCUCGCUUUUAACUUAGAUUUGUGAAACAACACGUUCGUUUUUUUUUUCUCCCAAAGUUCACGGACAUGUUUGAGAAGAUCGCUCGUAGUUAUUAACUUGUUACCGGUGUUUACGGUGUCUACCAUCACCACCCGGUGUACCCGUUUACCCCUCCAGUCCCUGGGCCCUGUCUCUCUCUUCUGCCUCUCAGCUAACCUCGAUCUGGGAAAGAUGGUGUCGUGGAUGAUCUCCAGAAGCGUUGUGCUCGUCUUCGGGACCCUGUAUCCUGCAUACUAUUCCUACAAAGCAGUGAAAACAAAAAAUGUCAAGGAAUAUGUCCGUUGGAUGAUGUACUGGAUUGUGUUUGCUCUCUACACCGUAGUGGAGACCAUCACAGACCUCACUGUAGCCUGGUUCCCCCUGUACUAUGAGAU